UUCUGGUACAAAUAGCAGAUGAGAGAGCCCUUUCGCACUUUUUGCCUGCUAUGAAAAAGUAAGAAUGAAGUACUCUAUUCGGGGAAAUACUAGGUAUGUCCCAUACGAUACGCUAUAAACUACUUUAGUCUAGUAGCUUAGCUUAAGAAGGGGGAAGCACAUAAUGAAAGAAUAUGAAGAGUUUUCUAUUCCAUUUGAUCUCCCUUGCCUUCCACUUGAAGAGAGUUCUAAGGAGUUGUAAACCCUCAAGAUAGAUCCCAAUUUUGCAAUCAUUGUAUAGUGAUAACAGAAAGUUCGAGAGCCUCCUCAACUCCCGUAGCCGGUCGAUCAUCUUGCUUUCCCUCUCCCUUCGGUCGAGUACAAUUUCAUUCCCUUGAGCUCAUGCUCUUGCAGGAGCUCAAACAGUUCGAGCGUUAGAAGCAGCAGAGUCAAGGUAGCAUUCCCUGUUAGCAAUACUCUAGUAUUUAGUCAAACAAAGAAUUGACUAAGGCCUAGAAGAACUAUCGAAAAAGGGCUAAUUUUCAUAUCAGAGAAAAAGAAGGGGAAGCUUCAACUUGCCCAACAGCCCCUUAGAAGGCUUUCCAUGUAACGUAUCCGUAGAAAGGAAAGGGAAUCAAAACUUCGGUAGGGGAGGAAGACAUAAAGACGGAACAAACUAUUCGUCUACCCGGACGGCAGAUUACUCGGACAUAGAGACGGAACAAACAAGUCAUCGCAUCAUGUUCGGCACUGUAUAGCUACACAGACUAACUUACCACAAACAAUCCAUCGCACGACUUACAACCGGACAAUGGGUCUGCCCGGCACUACGGGCUUGGAACUGCUUUGAACAUCACCGCACCGCCGGAACGCACCACAAAUCUUUCUCCUUGUCAACUCACUUAUGAAAAGCCUGAGCGGACCAAGGUAAGGGAAGGACUGACCUGAGCGUCUUACCAAGGGCUUGACCUGAUGAUCGGAUAAAGAGACUUAGCCGCGCCGGAACGAACGAGCCGAAAGCCAAGACAGAACGAAGCGCGAACAAC
rnacentral:lncRNA from 1 species